AGAGUUUGAUCCUGGCUCAGGACGAACGCUGGCGGCAUGCCUAACACAUGCAAGUCAACGGGGAUACAAGAGCUUGCUUUUGUAUCUUAGUGGCGGACGGGCGAGUAACGCGUGAGCAACCUGCCCUUCAGUGGGGAAUAACGUCUGGAAACGGACGCUAAUACCGCAUAACACAACGAAGCCGCAUGACUUUGUUGUCAAAGGAUUUAUUCGCUGAAGGAUGGGCUCGCGUCCGAUUAGCUAGAUGGUGGGGUAAAGGCUCACCAUGGCGACGAUCGGUAGCCGAACUGAGAGGUUGAUCGGCCGCAUUGGGACUGAGACACGGCCCAGACUCCUACGGGAGGCAGCA
rnacentral:rRNA from 1 species